UGCGAGGCUCUUUUUGGUGUCCAUGCGGCCGGAGGCCGCUAUGGGGCGCUCUACGCCGGGCUGAGCAGAGUAAAGCGGACGCCUCGCGGAGCCGGGAGCGGCAUCGGCAUCGGGCUGUGUCCGGGCGUAGCUGGACGAUCCCCGAACCGAAGCGCUGGCCGCAUUGAGUGACCGGAGCAGUUUGGGGAAAGGAGACGACCGCAUUUCGGGUGACAUCUGCCCGAGGACAAGGGGGAAGAAGAGUCAGGGCUUCGCCUCUCUGCCCUGCUCCGAGUGCAGCCGCUAUCUCUGCCUGCCGGGGGAGCGAACCGAGCUGUGCGGGUGGUCCUUGCCCCGCGAGGGGCUGAAGCGCGAUCAGGCUGGUGCAGAUAACUUCCUUAAGGUCAGAGGUAUUGCGGUGGCUGUGGCUGGUCAGUUGUGCUGGCAUCCACAGAUAACAGCUGAUCACGGGUAACAGCUGGUCCUGGGCCUUUGUGAAGUCUGCACAAUGCGUGUGUUUACUUCGUUGUCCUUUGGAGAGGGAUAGGGCCCUUCAAGUCAGGUGCAGCACAGCUUGACUGCGUCCCAAGUGAGUAGGAGUUGAAAGAGCAACCCUCAUAGAUGACCUCAAGAGACUUUAGAGUAUGCCCCUAGUUUGAAAUGAUGGAAAAUUUACACCAGGUAUAAGGAAGAAAUGUUUUACAGUAAGGAUGAUGAGGCACUGGAAGAUGUUGCCCAGCGAGAUGGUGGAAACCCUGUCU